rnacentral:misc_RNA from 1 species
GAUGAAGAACGCAGUGAAAUGCGAUAAGUAAUGUGAAUUGCAGAAUCCAGUGAAUCAUCGAAUCUUUGAACGCACAUUGCGCCCGCCAGUAUUCUGGCGGGCAUGCCUGUCUGAGCGUCAUUUCAACCCUCGCAACCAGCUUGCUGGAUGCGGUGUUGGGGAUCGGCCCCCCGUACUGGGAGGCCGUCCCUUAAAUAGAGUGGCGGUUGCGCUGUGACCUCCUCUGCGUAGUAGCAACAUCUCGCAGGCGGAUAGCGGUGUAACCACGCCGUAAAACCCCCAACUCUUCUUUGGUUGACCUCAGAUCAGGUAGGAAUACCCGCUGAACUUAAGCAUAUCAAUAAGCGGAGGA